UACGCAGGGCGCAAGCGUUAUCCGGAAUUAUUGGGCGUAAAGAGCUCGUAGGCGGUUUGUCGCGUCUGCCGUGAAAGUCCGGGGCUCAACUCCGGAUCUGCGGUGGGUACGGGCAGACUAGAGUGAUGUAGGGGAGACUGGAAUUCCUGGUGUAGCGGUGAAAUGCGCAGAUAUCAGGAGGAACACCGAUGGCGAAGGCAGGUCUCUGGGCAUUAACUGACGCUGAGGAGCGAAAGCAUGGGGAGCGAACAGG
rnacentral:rRNA from 1 species